rnacentral:rRNA from 1 species
UACGGAGGAUCCAAGCGUUAUCCGGAUUAUUGGGUUUAAAGGGUGCGUAGGCGGCCUGUUAAGUCAGGGGUGAAAGACGGUAGCUCAACUAUCGCAGUGCCCUUGAUACUGAUGGGCUUGAAUGGACUAGAGGCAGGCGGAAUGAGACAAGUAGCGGUGAAAUGCAUAGAUAUGUCUCAGAACACCGAUUGCGAAGGCAGCUUGCUAUGGUUUUAUUGACGCUGAGGCACGAAAGCGUGGGGAUCAAACAGG